UAGGGAAUCUUCCACAAUGGACGCAAGUCUGAUGGAGCAACGCCGCGUGAGUGAAGAAGGUUUUCGGAUCGUAAAGCUCUGUUGUUGGUGAAGAAGGAUAGAGGCAGUAACUGGUCUUUAUUUGACGGUAAUCAACCAGAAAGUCACGGCCAACUACGUGCCAGCAGCCGCGGUAAUACGUAGGUGGCAAGCGUUGUCCGGAUUUAUUGGGCGUAAAGCGAGCGCAGGCGGAAUGAUAAGUCUGAUGUGAAAGCCCACGGCUCAACCGUGGAACUGCAUCGGAAACUGUCAUUCUUGAGUGCAGAAGAGGAGAGUGGAAUUCCAUGUGUAGCGGUGGAAUGCGUAGAUAUAUGGAAGAACACCAGUGGCGAAGGCGGCUCUCUGGUCUGCAACUGACGCUGAGGCUCGAAAGCAUGGGUAGCGAACAGG
rnacentral:rRNA from 1 species